rnacentral:lncRNA from 1 species
UUUUUAGUGUUAAACAUCACUUUCAGCAAUAUUGAUUAUAUCUUGGUGGCCAUUUUUUUUUAUUGGUUGAGAAAGUCAGAGUAAUGGGAGAGAACCACCAAAUUGAAAAUUGAUGUACUAAAUAUUUUUUUUAAAUGUUUGAAUAUUUUAUAUCAAAUUAUUUAUUUUUAAUUAUAGCUAUACCAUUUUUUUGUUGUUAGAUAUAGCAAUGAUGUGGAGUCCAAACAGGUGAAAUUUUUGGCAAAGGGAGGUAAUUUAUUAUUCCCCUGUUUAACUCCUUAUUCUUGAAAUUUCCUCAUGGUAGGGAAUAUAUAACUAUUUACUUUAAUUUCACAUUUGUACAAGUUUUGGGUUUAAUAUCAGAUGUAUACUAGCUAAUAAGGACUAUUAUUCAGAGUUCUGUAAAUAAAAAAAUGUAAACAGAGCUCUAGAUAAUAGAUUUGAGGGUGGGAGAAAUCAUGGGUUACUUCUUGUAGAAUUGAUUUGGUGAAAUUUUCAAGAUAGGAGAUUAAUUGAAAGUGCAUCUGAUAUCUUUAUUCAUUUCUAUAAAUAAUGGACCAAAAAAUGACAGAUUGACAAUCAGAUAAUGAUGACAGCCACCCUGGCAGCCAGGAGAGCAGCUCUAAGGAAGAUGGUCAAUAAAAUCUUCAACCAAGUCUGAGGCUUUACCAUGAAAUUGAGAAGGCAAGUUUAUUGAAGUCAAACAAUUUUUAUACAUUUUCUAGAAAUAUUUGAUAAAAAGUGCAUAUUCAUCUUUUUUUUCUGCGUGAAAAACAUCUUUGAAGAAUGUAUUUACCAGUUUAAUAUUUUGAGAUACCAGUUACAUUAACAAGAAUUUCUAUCACAAUUACUGGAGUAAAUCCUGAGAUAGGGAUUAUAUCUCAAGGGGAGACUAGUUUUAUUAACAGCAAGAUUUGUUCAUUCAAUGGGAGACAACUCAUUUUCAUUAUUCAAAUUAGUUGAGUUCAGUUGAAAUUCAAAUCAUAAAACUUUGACAAUUUUUUUUUUUUUUCAAUCUUUAUAAAUUUUACAGAAUAUGUGGAUGUUAUACUAUUGGUACAUGAAGUAAGAAAUCAGAACAAUUUGUAAAGUAAUCUUUAGGUUGACAUAGAAAUUGGUUUGUAAAAUUAAUAAAUGUGUUAAUUUCUUUUUAGGUACUUUCUGUGGCAUGUUUUCAUGGUGUUGGAAUAAGACUUGGUGGUCAAAUACAGCUAAUAUGAAGGUAGGUACCAGUAAUAUUAAUCCUGUUUAAAAAAAAUAAUUCUAUAAAUAAUAUUAUUUGGAAAUAAAUACUGACUAGGGUUAAAGGUUUAUAAAAGUUUGGUCAACAGUAUACUCUUUAUUUUAUCAGUACCAUAUGACAAUGUUCACUUGGCAAAAUAUGGCCUUAUUAUAGAUUUUAAAUUUCAACUUUCAUCAUAGAAUUCCAAAAAGGCCCCAAUCUGGUUCUUAAAUGGAUAUAUCAAGAGACUUAUGGCGACAUAAAAGAAAAAGCUUCUUUAUAAUACACUGUAGACUCCAUAAUUAGCUAAAUUGGGAGAUAUUAUCAAAAUGCGAUGUUCUUACCUAAAAGCUUAAAGAAUACCUUUGAUCCAAAAUGUUAAGUAACCUAUAGGUGCCAAGGGUAAUAUUUAAAUUACAAGACAUACACUAUUACUGGAUCAGGGAAAGUGAAUUAUGCUGAAAACUGUUCUAAAUUGUGAAAAAUUGGACCUUUAUUGGCGCUUUUGCGAAAAACACCAGAAUUGCAUAAUCAAGAGGUCAUAACUUUGUAGUUUAUAUUGUUAAAUGCCAAAAAAAGAAGUGGUUAUUUUGUAUCAAAAAUGAUACCACAACAAUUUAUAUGUAGCAUUUGGACCUGAAUUAAAAAAGAUUAAAAUCUUAUGGCCAACUUUAGCCCUUUUAAACCUACCGCUUUUAAGGAUUGAAUUGGGUUGUUGGAUUGAUGUCUUAUCAAUGUUCUCAAAACCUGUCACAUGUAUAUAACCCAUUUUAUAUAAAGUAGAUACGGUAUUCCAGAAGUGAUCCUUUAAAACAAUUUUGAUUGACUAAGCAUUUUAUAUUUCAGGUUAGCACCACAGCUUGUCUGUAGGGAUUGAAGCUGGGAAAGGGCCAUUGGAGCUGAAUUUUAUGGUAAGAACUAAAAAAAAGAUUGAACUAUUCAUCUAAGAGUAUGUAAAUGCACCAUGGACUUUUUUAUGUACACAUGUAGAUCUAACAUUUAAAAAAAAAAAUCCAAAUUAAAAGUUUAUUUAUACCGGUAAUCUGGAUAGGGUAUAUAAGAAUAAAGAGAUGUUAUAAGAUUGCCAACUACACAACUAUCAAUAAAGGAAGCAAAUUACAGUCACCGUAGGACAUUCAGCAAUGAGCAAAAUCUAUAUGAAUGUAAAUAAUGCAACUGGUUGAAUAUCACAAUAGGAACUCAGUGUAUUCAUAAUUUUAAUCUCUGAUGCAUAACUUUGAAGGCAGAUUUUUCUGAAAUCGGGAUUAUUAAUCUUGCAUAUUUAUCCAUUUAUUAAAAAAUCAAGAAUAGAUGCAUGCAAUAAUUUCUGAAUUUACAGUACCAGUUUUAAAGUAAGCUAUAAGAGGUACUGAAUAUGACAAAAUGUGAAACAAUUUCAAACAAGAAAACCAACGCAAUGAUUCAUGAAAAAGAAUAAUCGAAAAAAAUAAACAUGACACACACCAACCAUUGGUUAGUUUUUCAUCCUUAUUUGCUAAUAAUUGUAUUAGAUAUAGUUUAAAUUUUGAUAUAGGCUUGAUCAUAUGUUUUGACAGAUAUGUUUAAGAAUAUUUAUUUCUUUUUCAGGAAACUUUGACUGUGGCUGCCACAUAAAAUGAUUAUAUGAUAACAGUGAAGAAAGUUAGUCAGAAAACUUUUGUAUAUGUUUCAGAAAAUGUAAUUUUUUACAACAAAAAAAAACAAAAAAAAAGAAUGUGUAAAGAUUCUCCACUUUCAACUAGAUUGGAAGCUUGUAUUUAAAAUUUCAAAAUUACUCUUACUUUUCUUGUCGUGCUUAUAGAAACUGAACUUUAUAUGUUUCAUAAUUUAGAUCUUAUUCGUUAUUCCCCAACCCCCUGUAACUCUGUUUCAUUUUUACUUUGAAAAUGAAAUGAAACAGAAAAAAUUUACUUGUAAACUUAAUAAUGGUCUGUCUAGUCCAAAGGCUUUCAGUCGGUUAAGAAUGGAGAAUCUAAAAAAAAAAAAAUAAAAAAAAUGAAAAAAAAUAUAUUGUGUUUUUGUGUUUCCUGAAUUGUUAUAUAUUUUUCCAACUUUUUGUUAUUUUUUUGCAGUGCUUUUAGCUAAAAAAAUUAAAAUUAUUUCACUAGAAGCAGAGUAGAACAUAUUGGUGAAAAAAGAUUGAUUGAUUGAUUGAAUUUUGGUGUAUAAUGCCACUUUCAGCCCAAUUUGUAAUAUCUUGAUGGCCAUUUUUUAUGGGUUGAAAAAGUUAAAAGUAACAGUAGAUACCCACCAACUUUUCCCCCAGGGAACUGUCAAUUCUAGUCAAUUAAGCUUUGAGUCAAACACACCUACCACAGGUUGGGUUUGAAUUCUCAACCUCAUUUUGACAUGCUAGAGAUACAAUAAUACUUCUUAGACCACUGCCACUAAGGCCCUUAGGUAAAAGGAAGUUAAGACUAAAUUAGUUUUUGAAAUGUGUUGUAGUUUUUACAUACACUAUUAUUUUUUCAUUUUAAUUAUACUAUAUUUUGUAUUGUUGUUAAAUAUAGGAAGGAUGUGGAGUCUCGACAGGGUCAUAUUUUCAAGGCAAGGGGAGGUAAUUCCCUUGUUAUACUCCUCAUACUUUAAAUUUCCUAAGUGUUUAUAGGGAAUAUAACUUUUUUUAUUUAAAUAUUCACUUUUUUACACAUUUUCUUUAAAUAUCAGAUGUAUACUAGCUAAAAUGACUAUUAUUUAGAGCUCUGUAAAUAAAAAAAAAAUAUGUAAGCAGAGAGCUCUAUAUAUAGAUAAUAGAUUUGGAGGGUUUGAGAAAUAGUGGGUAACUACAAUUGAUGAGGGGAAAUUUUAAAAAAAAAACUGAUUUUGUUAAAACUGUAAAGUGCAUCUGAUAUUUUUUUUUUUAUACAUGUAUAAUGUUAUUUCUGAAAGCAAAUGGACAAUAAGAUAAUGAGGACAUGGACCUCCUUGGCAGUUAUGAUAGCAGCUCUAAGGAAGAUGGUCAAUUAUAUCUUCAACCAAGUCUGAGGCUUUACCAGGAAAAAUCUGUGGUGAGUUGAAAUGUUUCACAAAAUUUAUAAUAAUAUUAUUAUAGACUUUUAAAACUUUUUAUUUAUUAAGGGUUUUUGUGUGAUAUUGAAGAUAUCUGCAUCAUUUCAUAACAUUUUUUUAUAACUUGUAUUUAAUGAAAAUGUUUUCUACCUUAUGUAUCAAGUCAAUAUUUUGAAGAUAUUAUAUAACAAAUUCAUAAGAAAUGAUACAAGGCAUAAUUAUGUUUCUCUCCUCUUUUAAACAUUUUUUUUUAUUUCAGGUUGUUGAAAUUACAAUGUUAACCUGGUGUAGGGAGUAAGACAUGGAUAUCUGAUAUUGUUAACAUGUUGGUAGGUAUUAAAGCUUUUAUUUUUAAUAAUUUUAAUAGUAUUUGACAUCAAUAAAUUUUUUGAAGGUUUGAAAUACUAUACAAUAUGAUGAAAUACAAGUUUAUUUUUUGCUAACUUAAUAAAAUUGAAAAUGUAAAUCGGGAAUGUGUUGGAGAGAUAAAAAAAAAACUUACAAAGGGCAAAAAACAUAACCAUUAGUUUGAUUUUGAAUACCAAUUAUUUUCUUGCAGAAUUUUGUUUGUUAUCUGAGAACUUUUAAACAAUUAUUAUGAUGUACAUAUUUUUUGAAAGUUGAGAGAAUAACUGACCUUGAACUUUGUUUUACAGGUUAGCAUCACAAGUUUCCUUGGGGUUACUUGCUUGGGGAGUUAUUAGAGCUGUUUUAAGGUGAGAAUUUAUUAAUCAACAAACAAUUUAAAUUUAUUUAUUAUACAUGUAUCUAAUUUUAAAUGCCCCUAGAUAUCUAUAUAUCUAUCCUAAAUAUAUGUCAAUGUAAAAUGUUGUACCUUUACUUUAGAAGUGUAUCUAUAUUUACUGAUUUGUCUCCCUUGCCCUGAACAAGAUUAGGCCCGAGACUACAAUUAAUUCCUCUAUCAGUUCUUUAUAAUUUUGUCGCAUUAAUUUUUUAAAAAAAAAUUUGUCCAAAAAAAAAAUUUGCCUAUUCUUUUUGUCUAAUUUUUGGUGUGUGCAAUGUACAGUUCAAGUCCAAAAAUAUAUGCAAUUUUCAGAAAAAUUGCAUGUUUACAUCAUACAAAUUUGGCCAAUACACAUCCAUACCCCUAUAGGCAAGUCAAGAGAUGUUCCGAAAAGUGUAAAUACUACCUUUUUGCACCUGGCCGAAUCACUCUUUCCUUAUCAAAAUCAGUUAAAAUAAAACAUCCAAAAGUUUAUUUCAGCUCUCUUCUUUCAUUUCCACCCCAGAAAAACUAAGAAAUGUAUGAGAAAGGGAAAGAAAAAAAAAUAAAGAAAAAAUACACUAUAAUUAAAGGGAACUAUAUUCAUGGACAACGAAAAGUGGGGUCAUUAAUUGUGGUCUUGGGCCAGAUGUGAAGGGGAGAUAAUCUGAUAUCAAGUAAAACCUAGCUAUCAUAAAAAAGAUGAUCAUGUAUGAUAACUGCUUUACAUUCAGUCAUUCAUAUUUUCAUUACAAAUUUCAAAAGAAUUUAUUCCUACUUUUUUAUCAUGGAGAAAAUUUUGUUUGGAUCUCAGUAAGGGUCAAUAAAACAACAAAUAACAAAAUAUUCAUUAAAUUUUACUUUUUAUUAAGUGAACUUACCAGCAGCUUCUGCAUUCACUGUGUUAAAUAUUUCCAAUAAUUGCUCUAAUUGCUCAGGUAUUUGAUGUCAAGUCUCAUAAUUGUAAAGUUUGGAAAAUUUAUUUUUGUGUAUUGACAGAUUUCAGUAAAAUGAAGUAGCAAAAAUAAGAAGAGUUUUCACAUUCAUUGAUGAUAUGUGUUUUUUUUUAAAUUGAAUUUUAUUAUAUACCCUUAAGAUUAUUUUGAUAAAAUAAUUGAAACUUAACUUUAUUUCUUUUCAGUUGAAAGUGUAACAGUUGCUGCCUUGUAUGGUAAAAUCCUCAGACAAUAAUCCUGCAAACAAUCGGAUGAACUGUUACUAUCUCUAUUGGAACAAUCUGUAGACAGUAGUCUUGUAAGCAGAAUGAGUUUUUAACAAAUUGUGUAUUUUAUUGCUGUAUUGAAUUUCAAAUUAUAGAUUUUUUUUAUUUAUAUUACUUGCAUUCAAUUAUUGUUUUGUGAUUGAUGAAAAAUUAAACUGAAAUUAUUGUUAUUUGAGGGGUC